GACGAACGCUGGCGGCGUGCCUAAUACAUGCAAGUCGAGCGGACGUUUUCUUGGUGCUCGCACCGAGAUUACGUUAGCGGCGGACGGGUGAGUAACACGUGGGUAACCUGCCUUGUAACUUGGGAUAACUCCGGGAAACCGGGGCUAAUACCGAAUAAUACUUUAGGACACAUGUUCGGAAGUUGAUAGAUGGUUCUGCUAUCACUAUAAGAUGGACCCGCGCUGCAUUAGCUAGUUGGUGAGGUAACGGCUCACCAAGGCCACGAUGCAUAGCCGACCUGAGAGGGUGAUCGGCCACACUGGGACUGAGACACGGCCCAGACUCCUACGGGAGGCAGCAGUAGGGAAUCUUCCACAAUGGACGAAAGUCUGAUGGAGCAACGCCGCGUGAGUGAAGAAGGAUUUCGGUUCGUAAAACUCUGUUGUAAGGGAAGAACAAGUACAGUAGUAACUGGCUGUACCUUGACGGUACCUUAUUAGAAAGCCACGGCUAACUACGUGCCAGCCGCCGCCGUAAAAC
rnacentral:rRNA from 1 species